rnacentral:snRNA from 1 species
AUACUUACCUGGCGGGGGAGAUACCAUGAUCACGAAGGUGGUUUUCCCAGGGCGAGGCUUAUCCAUUGCACUCCGGAUGUGCUGACCCCUGCGAUUUCCUCAAAUGUGGGAAACUCGACUGCAUAAUUUGUGGUAGUGGGGGACUGCGUUCGCGCUUUCCCCUG